rnacentral:rRNA from 1 species
CCUACGGGUGGCAGCAGUGGGGAAUAUUGCGCAAUGGGCGAAAGCCUGACGCAGCGACGCCGCGUGAGGGAUGAAGGUCUUCGGAUCGUAAACCUCUGUCAGCAGGGACGAACGGUCACUGUGCUAAUCAGCAGUGAAUUGACGGUACCUGCAAAGGAAGCACCGGCUAACCCCGUGCCAGCAGCCGCGGUAAUACGGAGGGUGCGAGCGUUAAUCGGAAUUACUGGGCGUAAAGGGCUCGUAGGCGGUAUGUCAAGUCAGUGGUGAAAGCCCCGCGCUCAACGUGGGAACUGCCUUUGAAACUGGCAAACUGGAGUGUGUGAGAGGAUAGUGGAAUGCCAGGUGUAGGAGUGAAAUCCGUAGAUAUCUGGAGGAACAUCAGUGGCGAAGGCGACUAUCUGGCACAUAACUGACGCUGAGGAGCGAAAGCGUGGGUAGCAAACAGGAUUAGAUACCCCGGUAGUC